UCAGAUUGAACGCUGGCGGCAUGCCUUACACAUGCAAGUCGAACGGUAACAGGUUAAGCUGACGAGUGGCGAACGGGUGAGUAAUGUAUCGGAACGUGCCUAGUCGUGGGGGAUAACGUAGCGAAAGCUACGCUAAUACCGCAUACGAUCCAUGGAUGAAAGCGGGGGACCUUCGGGCCUCGCGCGAUUAGAGCGGCCGUUAUCAGAUUAGGUAGUUGGUGGGGUAAAGGCCCACCAAGCCGACGAUCUGUAGCUGGUCUGAGAGGACGACCAGCCACACUGGGACUGAGACACGGCCCAGACUCCUACGGGAGGCAGCAGUGGGGAAUUUUGGACAAUGGGCGCAAGCCUGAUCCAGCAAUGCCGCGUGCAGGAUGAAGGCCUUCGGGUUGUAAACUGCUUAUGUACGGAGCGAAAAGGCUCUCUCUAAUAAAGGGGGCUCAUGACGGUACCGUAAGAAUAAGCACCGGCUAACUACGUGCCAGCAGCCGCGGUAAUACGUAGGGUGCGAGCGUUAAUCGGAAUUACUGGGCGUAAAGCGUGCGCAGGCGGUUAUGUAAGACAGAUGUGAAAUCCCCGGGCUCAACCUGGGACCUGCAUUUGUGACUGCAUAGCUAGAGUGCGGCAGAGGGGGAUGGAAUUCCGCGUGUAGCAGUGAAAUGCGUAGAUAUGCGGAGGAACACCGAUGGCGAANGCAAUCCCCUGGGCCUGCACUGACGCUCAUGCACGAAAGCGUGGGGAGCAAACAGGAUUAGAUACCCUGNNGUCCACGCCCUAAACGAUGUCAACUGGUUGUUGGGUCUUCACUGACUCAGUAACGAAGCUAACGCGUGAAGUUGACCGCCUGGGGAGUANGGCC
rnacentral:rRNA from 1 species